rnacentral:rRNA from 1 species
AUGAAGCAUAGAUUAUCAUGCAAAGCUGAUGAUAUUGAUAGUAUUGAAGAAGUUAUAGAUAUACAAAGAGAUCUAGAAAGAUAUCAGAAAGAUACCCUAAGAAAAAUAAAGCCACAACAAGUAUAUCACAUGGGUAUGUUUGAAAGUAAGAGUGGUCUAUACAGAAUAUCUCGAGAAGUAGAAUUAAGCGUGUUAACACAUCCAGUAGAUUUAAGAAUUGUAAGCAAAAAUUAUGAAAAUGAAUUAAAAUAUUGUGGUUACAAAUAUAUUCAUCAAGAAAAAAUGAGUUUUGGUUUCCAAACUAAAGGUUAUGAAGAUUUUAAAGGAACAAAUUUGCUAGUAAGUAUAGAAUUUAUAGGAAGGCUCACUAAUAGAAGUAGCUCCAGAUAUAGAGUGAAUGUGAAUGACGUAAUUGAUAGUAUGCAAUCAAAAGGUAUUAAAUUUAUGAAUCCUCUUAAAAUUGGCUUUGAAGAAAGAGCAGGAGAAGAAUGGAAGAUAGGAGAAUUAAUAGAGAAAAAAGAAUUAAAGCAACUUGAAAACUACAUAAGCUAUCAAAAUUGUGAAGAAAGUAGCAGUAUUCGAUUUAUGAACUAUAAAGCUGCAUCAAUAGAAGACUCUGAAUCAUUUAUGUCAGAAUCGGAAAUUAAUGAUGAUAAGAAUAAAGGUAUAUCUGAAUGUAUGGAAAAGGCUAAUUUAGAUGAUGAAAUAAUUCAUUGGGAAAAGAAGCUAAAGCAUAUUGAAUGGGAAUAUAGUCAUUCUAUGACAAAGGAUUGGCCGAAAAUUAGAGAAAGAGAGCUAUUUAUCAUUCGAGAAAUUGCAAGGUUAAAGAAACUAAAAAGCGAUAAAAUGUCUGUCACUAGUAGUUCAAGGAUGGAAGAUAAAAUUUUAGCAUCCGCAGAAAGUAAUAAUAAAGAUAAGAAUAUUAUUCAAAAAGAAGAAAUUGUUAGUGAAGAAGAGCAAUGGGAUAUCAAUAAUAAGUUAUUAUUAGAAAGUUAUGAGGAAGAGGAGGAAUUAAUAAAAGAAAUGUGGUUAGAAGAUGAAAGAUAUGAUGAUUCAGAACAAAAUAGUGAUUUCUAUAACUCACUAGAUGAUGUGGGAGAAUCUAUAAAAGUUCUUUGGGAACAAUGGGUAGAAUCAUACCCUAGUCAAUAUGAAGAAUUAAAAAGGGCAGGAAGUAACCCUAAUAACUUUGCGAAUGUUAUCUCAAAUAUGAUCAUAGCAGAAGAUCCUGAAUUAGGACAUACCUCAUUGCAAAAUGAAAGGUUAAGAGAAAUAGAAAAAUUAACAUUAACUAGCUGGAAAGGUAUUAAAGAGUUUUCCCAGCAUUAUUUGUAUAAUGCUACUACUGCUAAACAAGGUUUUAAUGUAGGCGUAGUAGAAAGAUAUUUUAAUAAGUUGCCUGAUCCCCUAGGGUCAAUAAUAUUUGAAGAAUAUAAAAAGGAAACGGCGGGAAACGUGGUAAACAUAUCUCAAGCUAUAACAUUUGUUUUCAAACAAUUAAGAAAGGUGUGUACUAGUAUUCAAGCCCAAAGAUCUAUGAAGAAAUCAGAUUAUAAUUUUUGCAAUAACAUAGUCCAAAUACCACUUACAUAUGGAGAAGAAAGGCAUAGGAAUCAUCUAAGUAGAACUUGCCCUAAUAAAGACCAGAAAAGAUACUCUAGCAAAUAUGAAGAACAAGAGAGGGUGUUAAUUAUAGAUAGCGUUAAUGAAAAUAUAUUAGUAUGUGAUGAUGAAAUAAAAGACGAUGAGUCAAUAUAUUCAAUUAUAGAAACAGAUGAAGUAGAAAAUGAGGCUCCAGAAUAUGAAUCAAGUGAAGAUGAAAUAGACCUAAUAGAUGAUUUAGCCGGUUUAAAAAUUGAAAUGAUGAACCAAGUAGAUUGUGAACAUGAUUGCAUUAGAGGAAAAGGUGAUUAUAACAUAAAAUGUGCUUUCUGUAUAUAUUAUCCAAGCCAAGAUAAUAGGUUUACAUGUAGCUUGUGUUUAAAACAAGCAUGUGCCUCAUGUCUAAGAGCCAAUAAUCAGAAGUGGAGACAAGAGAUAGAAUUGGAACCAGAAGAGCGAAUAUUAUCCAGUAGGGUUAGAAAUUUAGAAAAUAGAAUAAAUAAGCUAGAAGCAGAGCUAGAAAAACUUAAAGAUGAGUUAGAAAAUAGUAAAGAGGAAAAUGAUAAUGUUCCAAAAAACACAGAAAUGAAAGAGCAAAUGAUAACAGUAAGGGAUAAAAAAGGAGACAAAUUAAUACAAUUGAAAGAUGCAAUUACUAGUUUUGGAAACAAAUAUAUUGUUCGAUUACCAUUCAAAGAAGUGUUAGGAAUAAGGAUCCCAGUUAAGAUUGUUCUGAAGCCAAAUAUUUCAUAUAAAGUACUGGCACUAUUAGAUACUGGUUGCACUAAAAAUAUCAUCCAUGAUAAAUAUUUUAUGAGAUGUCCCGAAAUAGUUGAAACUAUAGAUGAUAAUAAAGCUGAAGUAUCUACCGAUAUGUCAGGAAUAAAGAAGAUCCAUAACCAGCUAGCAUAUAAUAUUGAAGCUUACAUAAAUGGCACAAAAUAUAUAAUAGAUGAAAUUACAAUAAGAGAUUUGUCAGUAAUAAAUGAUGACAUGAUAAUAGGGUUAAGAUUUUUACAACAAUCUUUACAAACCACAAUCAUACAUGAAGAGGGGGUAACAUUUAUUCCUUAUCAAGAUAAUGUUCCAUACAUACCUGAAGUGCGAAAA